rnacentral:rRNA from 1 species
AGCUCCAAUAGCGUAUAUUUAAGUUGUUGCAGUUAAAAAGCUCGUAGUUGGAUUUUGGGUCGGGGGCACCGGUCCGCCGUUCCGGUGUGCACUGGUGGCCCCUUCCUUUCUGCCGGGGACGUGCGUCGCACUUAAUUGGGUGGCGUUCGGAGUCGGCGUUGUUACUUUGAAAAAAUUAGAGUGUUCAAAGCAAGCCAUCGCUCUGAAUACAUUAGCAUGGAAUAACAUGAUAGGACUCUGGUCUUAUUUUGUUGGUUUCCGAGACUGGAGUAAUGAUUAAGAGGGACAGUCGGGGGCAUCCGUAUUUCAUUGUCAGAGGUGAAAUUCUUGGAUUUAUGAAAGACGAACUUCUGCGAAAGCAUUUGCCAAGGAUGUUUUCA